rnacentral:rRNA from 1 species
AUGCACCAGAUAAUGUUCCAUCUGGUCUCCAAGAACCAAAAGGGACGAAAGCACAAACAGAAAAUAUCAUCAUCUGGUCCAGCUAAUAGCUUGCAUACUACGAAUACUACUGGCCCCUUCCCCAGCUUGGCAUCCUCAACCCCUUCCACAGAUACUCCAGGAGACAACAUAUCAAUGUCAUCGAUGCAUCAUAAUGCCAGUAUAUCGUAUCACUUAGCUGUUUCUGGUGCUGAUGCCCUAGGGACUAGGGAAUCGCCAACAAACUACAUUGUUGACAUGGAUAAUUUUCUGGAGAAUGACUGUUUGGAAGAUAAGGUGGAUUCGUUCUUGUCACGUGAUGAUGCUGAAGGUUCGAGAGAUCCUCGAAGUCAUUGUAUGGCUUCUACUAAAGGAUUUGUCUUCCGAGAGAUUUCUUCAGUUCGAGCAAGCGCAAACAAAUUUGCAUCCUUUUACUUCUCAUCAGAUGGAAAGCUACUUGCUACUGGGGGUCAUGCUAAGAAGCAAGGUUAUUCAAUUUGUACGAUCACCAGGCACUCAGCAUAUGUUAUGUCAUUGGAUUUUUACGCUAUCAAGGUUGACGUAAUGUGUUCUUGUGAUGGGUAUAGUGAGAUAAUAUUCUGGAGUAUCAACAACGGAGGAAUUGUCCAAAAUUUCAAGGGAGGUUCGAGACAUCUGAGAUUUCAGCCACGUCCUGGUGGACAUCUUGCAGCAGCUUCAGAGAAUGAUGUGAAACCGCAAGCUUGUGUGAGGAGAUUUGAGGGUCACACCAAGGGUUCACUGUGUUGGGACUCAUCUGGGAAUGUAUUGUAUCUACCAUUGAGGAGGAUGCAGUAA